AUGGUUGGAAGUCAAUAAUUUCUUCUCAGAGGUGAUCAGAGUUGUGGAGGAUGCUCGAAAGAAAGCCCUUAAGCCUCUGGAGGAGAGGAGACAGAAAGUGAAAGGAGAUGCUCAGGAUAUCAUUCAGAAGCUGCAAAGAGAAAUUGAUGUGCUCAAAAAGGCCAUUGCUGAAGCACCCAAAAACCCAGACUUGGAGGUUUCCCCACCAACAGGCCUGGAUGAAUCUACUGACUGGAAAAAUGUACAAGUUGACACUUCACU